UAAACAUUCGCAGGACUCCUCUGCGGUAGC
rnacentral:sRNA from 1 species